UCUUUGUUCAGUUCUCUGCCUCUAUUGAUUUUGCUUGCAUUGCUCUUUCACUUCCUAUUGAGCCUUCACUAUUUUCAUCAGAGAAUUUUUUGUUUCUUUGCUCAGUUCUCCAGCGGGUUCUUCUUCUUCUUGCUCUUUAUUUUUUGCUUCGUUUUUGGUGGAUUUCAUUGGUGAAUUUUCGAUUUCCUCUAUUUUUUAGGCCAUGUGUAUGUUUCAAUCUUCAAUGUAAAUUUUCAAGGUUUAGUGAUUUGUGAUUUUGACUGAAUCGUAAUUUGGGUUGCAUGUGUUCUCUAUGUCUUGAUAUGAAUAGUGAGAGUUAGCUUACCGUGGUUUGCACCUACAAAUUUGGUCUUGAUCCUUUUGUACCUUUUAAUUGCUAAUGGGAUCUGUAGUCAAACGAUUUCUUUUCAAUAUGCCUUAAUUUCUCAAUUUUUCAGUUUCAUGUUAUCUUUGGUAUGUGCAUUAUAGUUGUGAUGAUUUUUUUUUUUUUUUUUUUUUUUUUUUUUUUUGGGUGGUAGUUCUUGCUUCUUCUUUUCUUAAAUGCAUUCUGUUCGUGUGGAUAUUUUUAAAAUUAAUUUAUGCGACCAACGUGUUUGACGAAUUUCCUUAGCAAAAGGAAGACUUGUGUGUGCUAGGCUGAUGAAGCUGAAUUAUGGCUUCGCUCUGUUUACUGUGCCUGUGCUUCUUUUCUUUUCCCUCAAUAUUCUGCCCCUGUGUCGACAAGGGGUUACCACAUAAGUGUUUCUAGAAUUACUUUAAUUUUUGUGGUUAUUUUGUAAUGGUAUUUCAACUGCUUGCAUGUGUAAUUCUGCAGUAGCAAUAUUACUAUUUCUCUAACUUUUGUUGACAUGAAAAAUUAGAUGACUUAUAGUUUUCAAAUUGAGUAGAUACUUUUCCCUGUGAUAUCUUUUUCAUUUAAAAAUUUUCAAGAAAAAAAUUGAUAAAUGUUUGUAUGUUAGGGAGUCAUGCUGUGAGGUGAUCUAUUUUCCUUGUGACGUCUUUCAACUUCCAGGUAAUUUAUUGAGGAAGAAUUGGUGUAAGUUAUCGAAUUCCUUAAUGUUGUUGUGAAAUUGGCAGUGAAAUUAAAGGUUCAAACUCAAGGUAAGUUUUUCUGUACUACAUUUGAGAAAAUAUGGCCAUAGCAAGCUGAGGAAGGUGACAAAAAAAAAUAUAAGUUGCAAAUUCAGAAUAAUGAGCAAGGCAAAAGAUUUGAUUUUAGCUUCCCCAAUUUCCAAGCCCUUCAGGUGCAAUUCCACAUUUUUUACAGAACCUUAAAAUUUUGGGUCGCUUUUUCUUGAAAAAUGAAUUUCAGUGUUCUGCUUUGUCUAUUGUAUCAAGCAGUUGUUCAUGGAUAAAAACUGCAACUUUAGUAUUGGAUACAAGAACAAAACUUAGAAAAUACUUCACCUCUACAUUUAAUUUUUGUAACUGACGCAACUUUCUUCUAAUAUUUUUAAUAUCUCAAUUGCAAGAGAGAGGGAAGCAAUAACUUGCCAAAAUGGUUGUUAUCAUACUCAUAAUAAUUGUUACUCUGGAAUUGGGGAGGAUGAUCAUACAAGUAUAGGGUGACUUAUGCUGCUUGAGAUCAAUUAGGUGAUCUAUAUACUCAUAUAAUAUCAUGCAAUAUGACUAAACUCUACUUUAGAGUUCCUGUAGUGUGUGGCUUUUCCCUCUGGAUGUUGAUUCCUUAAUAUGGCACUAUGUGUGAUUCUUUGAGGAUCAUGAGGUUGAAUGUAAACAGAAUAGUUUAUGUAGUUUAUUCAAAGAGUAAAUCAGAACCAUUUUAACUGCAUUGGGUAGUUCCUGAAAGCUUUUAGCUCAACCACAAUAUUUUUGCAAGGUAUUGCGCACAUCCAUCUAUUCUUUUUAUAGUCAAGUGGAAAGGAGAACAUGAUCCUUUUGUAAUCUAAUUUUCUUUUGCCUUACAGGAACAUGAUGGGCUAAUUGUUUGAACGACAAUUAUGUUUUGCAAGUAAGACAGCAAGUAAGAUAUUAACCGGGCACUAUAUCAGGUGAGAGAAGGGACCAACAUAUAUUUUAAGUAUCUAGCACUAUUUAUUUCGGACUCUCAUAUCCUUGUGAACAUCUUUCAGACAAAUGCAAGGAUUGUUUCAAAGAAAUAAGCAUAUAACCUUGAAAUCAUCUUGGGUUAUUUUUUUGUAACCUGAAGACAUUAGGUUAUUUCUCCUAGACAUGAACCUAUUUUUUACAUGGUCAGCUCUAUGUAGACCUAUCAUGACGAAAAGUUUCCAUUGUUUGAACCUAUGGAUUCGAUCACCUACAACAGAUAAUGAUGAUGAUCAUUUGACGUACAAUAUCGUUUAUAAUAAAAUUAUUCAUAAAGCCUUUUCAUAGAUAGAUCCCUUGGAUGGGCCCAGAUUCUGCUGAUGUCCCAUGGUUCCUUAUUCAUAUUUCAUAGAAGGUUGACUCCAACUUGGUACAGUGAUAGCAGUUGCUCCAUUUUUACUGUUGAGAGAUGUUAUACGUGAAAUGUUGAGUAGAACGGAGGAUCGUUCCAGCAUAUAAAUUGGAGACAUGACAUAUUGGAUUCUGCAAGAAAUGUGCUCGAGAAGAAGCAGCUAAAUGAAUCUAUCUUUUAAUCACAUUGCAUUAUUUAAUUCUAAUAGAAGAGUACGCAAAACAGGCUAUCUCUUAAUUCAUUCCUUUACUUGAAAACUGUUGCGCCAAAUUAAUAUAAGAGUAGUAUUUUCUCAGGGAUGCCCUUAUAGCGCUGUAGAUUGCUGUGCAAUAUAAUUACGGAAAAGAUUCGCCGCUUCUGA